rnacentral:rRNA from 1 species
UACGUAGGGUGCGAGCGUUGUCCGGAUUUAUUGGGCGUAAAGAGCUUGUAGGCGGUCGGUCACGUCGAAAGUGCAAACUCAGGGCUUAACCCUGAGCCUGCUUUCGAUACGGGCUGACUAGAGGAAGGUAGGGGAGAAUGGAAUUCCCGGUGGAGCGGUGGAAUGCGCAGAUAUCGGGAGGAACACCAGUGGCGAAGGCGGUUCUCUGGACCUUUCCUGACGCUGAGAAGCGAAAGCGUGGGGAGCAAACAGGCUUAGAUACCCUGGUAGUCCACGCCGUAAACGGUGGGUACUAGGUGUGGGGGACAUUCCACGUUCUCUGUGCCGUAGCUAACGCAUUAAGUACCCCGCCUGGGGAGUACGGCCGCAAGGCUAAAACUCAAAGGAAUUGACGGGGCCCCGCACAAGCGGCGGAGCAUGCGGAUUAAUUCGAUGCAACGCGAAGAACCUUACCUGGGUUUGACAUAUACCGGAAACGCCUAGAGAUAGGCGCCCCGCAAGGUCGGUAUACAGGUGGUGCAUGGCU